GACCAGAUAGCUCAAUUGGUAGAGCGUCCGUCUUGAGUUCGGAAGGUCUGGGGUUCGAACCCCGGUCUGGCCG
rnacentral:tRNA from 1 species